GACGUAGGGCGCGAGCGUUGUCCGGAUUUAUUGGGCGUAAAGCGCUCGCAGGCGGUCCCGUGCGUCGUGCGUGAAAGGCCCCGGCUCAACCGGGGGCGGUCGUGCGAUACGGCGGGACUGGAGGCCAGUAGGGGGACGCGGAAUUCCGGGUGUAGUGGUGGAAUGCGUAGAGAUCCGGAGGAACACCAGCGGCGAAGGCGGCGUCCUGGACUGGACCUGACGCUCAGGAGCAAAAGCGUGGGGAGCGAUCCGG
rnacentral:rRNA from 1 species